CCCAUCCACACCCUACCCUGUCAUCAGUAGAUCAGCCGGCGGGUGUGCACGUCCACUCGCGCGUGUACGACGUCAGCACUGUGGGAUAUAUAUAUAUAUAUAUGUAUUUUCACUUUCCCCUCUGCCGGGCCCCUCGAAGCGCAUGCUCUGCCUUCUUACCUUCCAACGUCGAAACAAUCCUAGCAUCUUCACUGUUUGCCGCGGUCCUACUCCUCACACCCCUGAGGGCCCUGUCAACGCCACCGAGGCACAGAUCCGCACAUAGAUACGCAUUUUCUUUCGUGUGGUCCUGUCGUACAGAAAGCGAAAAAAAAAAAGGAGGGUCGGGAGAGAGUCAAUGACGCAACUGACGAGCACUCCUCUAUUUCUUCUUCUGUUCUAGUCCACCGCGGCUCAAGAAGUCUUCUGGCGGCGGUUGCGCCACAGUCCCGCGGGCUCGGCCGCUCCUCCGCUGUCGCACCAUUCGUUGUCACGCGUCGUUUGUAUAAUGUGUGAGGCAAGUUGAACAUAUCUGCUAUUGUUCCUCCCCCUCGCCCCUCCUCGAUUCCGACGGGCGGUCUUGCGCGAAGGCAGCGAGGUUGCAGGAGUGCGCAACGGAGCAGCAGGAGCGGUUGUGUUUCGGAAAGGCUCUUCGCACAGAAGGAAACGGAGCAAGGGAAAGACAAUCCUGUACACGCGUGCACAUACACGCAAAACGAGAGAGACACGCAUCUCUCCUUCGUUUGCCUCACUACUGUCGCGAUAAUUCCAUAUAUAUAUAUAUAUAGUUGCCGUUAUUGUGGUUGGUUCGACGAAAAAAAGAAAACGUUGUAGGCGUUGGAAUCCACGUUGUGCCCGUGACGUUGUGCGUGUUGCACUCUUCUCCAUCCCCUUCUCCAUCCGCCGCCGGACCUUCUCGUCUUGUUUGGCCACGCCUUUUCCCAAAGCCGCGUUUCUCACGUUUUUUUUUUCGUGUGUGGUUUGCCUCAUCCCUUCCAUUACGCCGACACGUUGUUGCUGCGUUUUCUCGCAGCGUAUCUCUCUUUCCUGUGUGACUCGACUGUGUAGCGACACCGACGCACGCACAAACGAAAGUUUCUUUUUUUCGUAUACCUGUGAAAGCGAAACGAGGCGGCGGCAUUGCGUCAGCCGGUGCGCCUUCAUCUCUCUUUCUCUUGAGCGGUGUCUGUUGCGUCGCAGCGCCUCUGUCUCUCCCACGCUUUCGCUAGACCUGUUUUCUCAUCCCCUAACCACACGCGUCUUUGUUGCCACGUUCAGUGAAGUCAAGCGUCGCCACGUGAAUGAGUCUGAAGAGGGGCGAGACAUCAGUGCAAGACGCUUGUCGUUUGUUAUUCCGUUCUUCUUUCCUUUCUUGGGCACGCGCUGCUACUAACGUGUGCGCACCGACUUCUACCCUUAAUUCUCGCUUCUUCCACUACCCCCUCCCUCCCCCUCAUCACUCGCUCGCCGUCCACACUAG
rnacentral:misc_RNA from 1 species